GUCCGGUGUAAACUCGAAUGACGCCUUUCGAUUCCCUUCGGCCACCCCAUCCGUCGCCCCCGUCACAUUCGUGAAAUUCUCAACAGUUCGCACGCAGACAGGAUUCGUUAUGUACAGACUUCAUUUUUAUUCGAGCUAAAAACGUAAGAGGUCAAAGUGAUAGUCCGCGGCAGAAAUUGUGUUGGAAACUGAUUCUCUCCUACAUCCUACAUGAGAGCAGACGAAUAUCUGGCAAGAAUCAACACGUGUCUGAAUUCUAAACAAUUCAACGCCAUCUUGUGGCUGAAUCUUUUCUCGUCUCGUCAGAAGAACGAAAAGAAACAGCUUGCUGUUGUUGAGGUAUGUAAAAAUAAACUUGAGACUCUUCAUAAUUGCGUUCAGUUUCAUUUAACAGAACAUAAAACAAAACGAUUCUGUAACCUAAAAAAAAAAAACUGACGGAAAGAGCUACCAUCUAACGGCCAACGAGAAAUUGUUGCAACCAUCAGCAAAAUUGCAAUUCCAUUCGCGGCGCCCUGUCUCAUACCAAUCAAAAAGAAAAGAAAUAUCAGAGUUGAGAGAGACCGUGUCGAAGCCCACACAAUCCGGGGUUGCAACCUUGAUUCAUAUCUUCGUCGCUACAUAGAUAAGUUUGUCGUUAUGCCGGUAUUUUAUUGUACAAUGGAUUCCAGUGCUAUCUGUGGCAAGUAAUAGCUCUUUCGGACUUGUAGAACUUGAUCUUCCUACCGCCCGGAGCCAUUCUCCAAUUUGAACGUGGAACUUCUUGCAUCAUAGAUCAGAGCCCAAAGUGCAAGCGAAAACAAAAAUAUUCCAGAAAUUUGGUCCAUAAGUUAUUCUGCCUUGGGGGAAUGAAAUUUGGACACAAAAUAUAAAUGUCUCCAAAAUGAUCCUCUCGAAUUGCGAGGAUUCCACACUACGCUGUUCCAUUGUACACUACACCAGUUUAUAUGCAAUGCCUGAUGGACUUGCUCACACUUUAAAACUGAACAAAAAAAAAAAAAAAAGAAAUAGUAAUCUGUCCUUACCUUCUGAUAUCAACAGAUUUUUUUGUUUGACGCUGCAGCCGUACAUCCUUCCUGCCAUAGCACUCCCGUACGGUUACACCCUGUUUGCGACAGAAAAACGAAAAACUUGACACGAACAAUCCUCGGUCCACCAUCUUUAUUUAUUAAUCUAUACGUCACUCGGGAUUUUAGGAUCAAGCCAAAUGCCAGCUCACGUGAUAAUCAUUCGCACUUUCUUGCUAACUGAUAGUAAUAAUGUGGUGGGAUGUGCUUAGGUUGGGAAACAUGUCGUGAUAAAAUCGUUGACAAGCCUCGAGAAACAGGUAAAACAAGCUGUAAAGGAAUGUUGAGUCGAUUCUGAUGAGUUGAUCAAAUAC